rnacentral:rRNA from 1 species
GAUGAACGCUGGCGGCGUGCCUAAUACAUGCAAGUCGAGCGAACAGACGAGGAGCUUGCUCCUCUGACGUUAGCGGAGGACGGGUGAGUAACACGUGGAUAACCUACCUAUAAGACUGGGAUAACUUCGGGAAACCGGAGCUAAUACCGGAUAAUAUAUUGAACCGCAUGGUUCAAUAGUGAAAGACGGCUUUGCUGUCACUUAUAGAUGGAUCCGCGCCGCAUUAGCUAGUUGGUAAGGUAACGGCUUACCAAGGCAACGAUGCGUAGCCGACCUGAGAGGGGGAUCGGCCGCACUGGAAGUGAGACACGGUCCAGACGCCUGCGGGAGGCAGCAGUAGGGAAUCGUCCGCAAAGGGCGAAAGCCUGACGGAGCAACGCCGCGUGAGUGAUGAAGGUCUUCGGAUCGUAAAACUCUGUUAUUAGUGAAGAACAAAUGUGUAAGUAACUAUGCACGUCUUGACGGUACCUAAUCAGAAAGCCACGGCUAACUACGUG